CAGCAGCCGCGGUAAUACGUAGGGUGCAAGCGUUGUCCGGAAUUAUUGGGCGUAAAGAGCUCGUAGGCGGUUUGUCGCGUCUGCUGUGAAAUCCCGAGGCUCAACCUCGGGCUUGCAGUGGGUACGGGCAGACUAGAGUGCGGUAGGGGAGAUUGGAAUUCCUGGUGUAGCGGUGGAAUGCGCAGAUAUCAGGAGGAACACCGAUGGCGAAGGCAGAUCUCUGGGCCGUAACUGACGCUGAGGAGCGAAAGCGUGGGGAGCGAACAGGAUUAGAUACCCCAGUAGUCCCUGUCUCUUAUAC
rnacentral:rRNA from 1 species